rnacentral:lncRNA from 1 species
GCUGGUCAAGGGAGGAACUUUUAGAUAAUUAGAGACUUCAAUGUGAAACAUACAGCUACAAUCUAAUGAAAAAAAUAGGAGAAUUUUUGAAUGGGAUUAAUACCUAGAAUAUACAAAGUACUCCUGCAAACCAACAAGAAAAAGGUAAGAAAGCCAACUCUGUCAUCAAAGGACAUAAGUAGGGGAGUCAUAGAAUGGGAAAUUUAAAUAGCUUAGGAGAAAAGUUCAACAUCUCUCAUAACCAUAGAAAUUCCCAAGUUAAAUGGCAACAUGACCCCACAGUACAUCUAUCAGAUUAAUGAAAAUCAUAUUGUUGGAGGAUAUUUAGUUCAACAAGGAUGGCAGGGUUGGAGAGGGAGAAACAAUAAGCUUCACCUCUCAGCCUGUGGGAGCUGUGGGAAAUGUGAUCUAGCCCGUUGUUAACUGGAUCAACACUCUGGGGAGUGGGCUGGCAAGCAAUAUGGCAGAAACCGGGAAGAUAAUAUUUUUUAAGUUGUAAACUAAACAGGUUUUAAUUAAAAAUAUAAACUUACAAAAAUAGUGUUUUUUUGCACAAAAUAUCAUGCUGGAGGACAUAAAAUAAUUUAUAUCAAUAGUCAUGCGCACCUCAAUGAGCAGCAGAAGUCCAUAUUUAUUCUCCAGGCUAUGUGGUUUGGAGGAACAAGGGUAUCCUUUGGGUCAGACCCUCUACCUCCAACUUCAGUGCUCUUUCUACUGCACCACAGACAACUUGCUGUUGCUGUGAAAACCACUAGUGCCAGGAGACCGAAACCAGCUGCAGAUUGCUCUUGCUAAUGGUCAGCCCAGACUGAAAAGCCAGCCACACAGGCCUAAAUAAAAUAAUACUUAAAAAAAUUACUUGGGUUGCCAUCCCAAUGCUGAUUGAAAGGUUUCAAAGAUUGGAUCUAUUAGAGCAAACUGCUGAUUCAUCUUGUUUCUCUGCUGUUAACUGAGUUUCUAACAUUUAGGGACAUCCUAAUCACUCCUACAGAAAUAAAGGACAAACUCCUUGAUUUCAAAAUCAUGGGAAUACAUUUUUUGGAGAGAGUGACCUCAGCUUCUUUUCCUUUUCUGAGGGUCCUAUUAUUCAAGAAACAUGUUUUGAUCCCCAGCUGUGUGCCAGGAAACAUGCAAAGUGCAUUACAUACCUUGACUCAUUGAAUCCUCCCACAGACCCCACAUAUAGGAACCAUCGGAUCCCUGUGUACAGAUGAAGAACUGAGUCUUGGAAAGCUUAACUACCUUGCUCACAGUCACACGUUAAGGUCUAAAGUGAGAAAUUAAACCAAGUCUUCCAAUCUCAAAGACUUUAAAGGAAAAGCUACAAGCUACAAGAAUAAAGAAGUUCUUCAUGUAUAUUUAUGGGAAAAUUGCUAAGGUGUAGUCUCAAGUCCUAAAAAAGCAAAGUUCAGGAAGUGGACUCCCUGAAGAAACAGGAAAGAGCACAGGAGAUGAGGAACAAACACAGCCAAUGGUGAGGCCCUCAGCAGGGAGCAAGGAGGGGGUGCUGUUGUUAAUAAAAAAAGAAGAAAGAAGAUUUUCAUCUAAAAUGAGAAAAGAGGAGAGAAAACAGCUGCAUUUAUGCAAGAUGGAAUAAAUCCAGUGUUGAAGAUGAAGCCCGCAGUAGCAGGCCAUUCACAUCAACUUGCAAGGAAAAAAUUCACCUUGUUUGUGCUUUAAUUGAAGAGGACUGAUGAUUAACAGCAGAAACAAGAGCCAACAUCACAGACAUCUCAAAUGGUUCAGCUUACACAAUUCUGAAUGAAAAAUUAAAGUUUAACAAACUUUCCACUUGUUGAGUUCCAAAACCAUUGUGUCCACCAAAUCAUCUGCAGACAAAAAAAAGUUUUCAAUGAAAAUUUUAAACAAGUAGGAUCAAGAUCCUGAAGCAUUUUUUAAGAAGAAUUGUAACAGAAAAUGAAACAAUGCUUACCAAUAUUAUCCUGAAGACAAGACAUAAUCAGAGCAAUGGUUACUAAGACAUAGAAGUGGCCCAGUCAAAGCAAAAGGGAACCAGCCAAGAGCAGAGGUCAUGGUAACAAUUUUGGGGGAUUGUCAAGGCAUUUUGCUUGCUGAUUUUUCUGGAAGGCCAAUAAAUGAUAACAUCUGCUUAUUAUGAGAGUGUUGAGAAAGUUAACUAAAGCUUGAGCAGAAAAAAACAAAAAAGUCUGGGAAAGCAUUACUAGAGAGUCCUAUUCCACCAUGACAAUGCUCCUGCUCACUCCUUUCAUCAAACAAGGGAAACUUUGGGAGCAUUUCAGUGGGAAAUUAUUAGGCAUUCACCUUACAGGUGUUAUUUGGUGUCUUCUGACUUCUUUUUGCUGUCUAACCUUAAAAAAAAUCUGUAAGGGGCACCCACUUUUCUUCAGUUACCUCAUGUCAAGAUCCUUAAUUUAAUCGACUGAUCAGUCCCUUUUGCCACAUGAGGUAACAUAUUCACAUUCUCUUCCUUUCUGCAAAUACUUACGGAAUGCCACUAUGUACUUGGCACUAUACUAGACACUUGGGAUAUAGAAGUUAACAGUGACAAUUGGUAAGAAAGACCCCUAGCACCUCUAAAGGAAUAUAAAACAUGAUAUUUCAUAUAAUUACACAUAAAAAUCAC